UGCCAGCAGCCGCGGUAAUACAGAGGGUGCGAGCGUUAAUCGGAAUUACUGGGCGUAAAGCGUGCGUAGGCGGUUAAUUAAGUCAGAUGUGAAAGCCCUGAGCUCAACCUGGGAAUUGCAUUUGAUACUGGUUAACUUGAGUAUGGGAGAGGGAAGUGGAAUUUCCGGUGUAGCGGUGAAAUGCGUAGAUAUCGGAAGGAACACCGGUGGCGAAGGCGACUUCCUGGGCCAAUACUGACGCUGAGGCGCGAAAGCGUGGGUAGCAAACAGGAUUAGAUA
rnacentral:rRNA from 1 species